GCAUCCUUGAGAACGACCCAUGUGACUUUGAAGUGCAAGUCCUUCCUACUCUGAAAGGACCCGGGGAGGGUGGAGAGAUGUGGGAGGACGGGAGAGUGGCCUCCUGCGUGAGAACACGGGGUUUCCCAGGACUCAUUACCAGGGUUCCGAGUCUGGGGGUCAUGCAGUGUUGGGUGGUUGUCAUGGCUGGGUUCUGCUGGGUGCUGUGUGUGGAAUGCACAAAGCUGCUCUGUAUCCUCCAACACCUCAGUUGGCUCCACAGAGAGUUUUUUGAUGGCGGGCAUGCUGAGGGUGAGGAGACCUGGCCACAAGAAACCACCAGGAGGUGACCCAAUAGAAGAUGCAGCUGAGGUGGUCUCUGGGCUUUCCUGGAAGACUGAAGGGCCUGAAGCUGGAACGUCAGUCUCUGCUCAGAGCUGUUGAACGUGUAAAAGGCCAAAGGACCUUUAGGACCUUUAGCUGCCCUGGGUGCUCCUUCUUGGCCAUUCUGAGCUGGCAGAUCCGAGUCCUUCAGGCGGUCCCCGCUUUCUCCAGGGCCUGGCCACCGAUUAGGGAGCUCUAGGCUGGCCUGCUGUCCAGACAAGCAACCAAAUCCAUGAUCUCAAGGCCUUGGGCUUUCGUAGUCUCCGGAACCACAGAGACUGGAAUACGAUGCCUUCCAGUGGAUCUUCCUGCUCCUGGGUCUAUUGAGUGGCUACAGACCUGAACAUGAGUGCACAUCUCUACCUUUAUCACAUGGUCAGCCAACACACAGCAUGCCAGAAAGAGCUGCUUCCUCCAGGGUCUCACCACGGUGACCUGUUCCAGAGCUCUCAAGGAGGGCAUUCCCACCUGACUGAAGUCUAGAGAG